UCACAGCUGCCAUGAAUGGUGUUGGCAGGGCAAGUUUCAAAAAGAGUUUAUCUCCAAGGAGGAAGUCCUCCUUCAGCUGCCAUGAAUGGUGUUGGCAGGGCAAGUUUCAAAAAGAGUUCAUCUCCAAGCAGUAAGUCCUCCUUUUGACAAGCAUCUUAGCAGCAGUACCGUACGGUUCCUCGAAAGCAGUGGAAACCCAGGAAAGAUCGCACACUUCCUUCUUAGCGGAAGUCUGCUCGCUAGGCCUAAUAACAACCAGAACAAAGCAGUGGAAACCCAGGAAAGAUCGCACACUUCCUUCUUAGCGGAAGUCUGCUCGCUAGGCCUAAUAGCAACAAGAGUAGCGCCUUUCAACACAACCCCAUUGGGAAGCUCCAAAUGAGGAGCAUACCACAGACGCAUAUUCAAAGCAGGAACUAAAGUCCUCUUGGAAGCAGAGGAAGCCGACAAUGGCUUCACCCUAAGCUCCUC
rnacentral:lncRNA from 1 species